rnacentral:rRNA from 1 species
GACAGAGGUGGCAAGCGUUGUUCGGAUUUAUUGGGUGUAAAGGGCAGGUAGGUGGCUGUAUAAGUCCGAUGUGAAAUCCCACGGCUCAACCGUGGAACUGCGUUGGAUACUGUAUGGCUUGAGUAUCAGAGAGGUAAGGGGAAUUCUCGGUGUAAGGGUGAAAUCUGUAGAUACCGAGAGGAACACCAAUGGCGAAGGCACCUUACUGGCUGAUUACUGACACUGAGCUGCGAAAGCAAGGGGAGCAAACAGG